GGGCCGCACGCGCGCUACACUGACAGAGCCAACGAGUUCAUUUCCUUAGCCGAAAGGUUUGGGUAAUCUUGUUAAACUCUGUCGUGCUGGGGAUAGAGCAUUGCAAUUAUUGCUCUUCAACGAGGAAUGCCUAGUAAGCGCAUGUCAUCAGCAUGCGUUGAUUACGUCCCUGCCCUUUGUAUACACCGCCCGUCGCACCUACCGAU
rnacentral:rRNA from 1 species